ensembl:lncRNA
CACCCUCCCUCACUCACACAUCGUAUCUGUAUGCAUAUCCAGCCAACAGCUCAGUCAGAUAAUCUCUCUCCUAAUAGAUUAUCUGAAGCGUGUUGUUUCCAGGAACGGUUUCUCAACAACCGGUUCUAGAUCUCGAAGUGAAUUCCUCUUUCUCUUCUCUUUCUCCGCAAAUCAAAAGAUUCGUAGAAAAUCUCAACAUUUUGCGCUCAAAGAUUGCGCCUAUUGAAACCCUGGCGCCGAGUGGCAGGUCGGUCCAGCGGACUGGGGACCCCGUGCGUAACGAUGAUGAUGAACCGCGUUCUUGCCCUCUGGUCUCCGGAGGACGGCGCUGACGACCCCUCCGCGUUUAUCUGAAGCGCCCGUAACAGAGAACAACAGACAGCGGAGCAGUGGAUGGACUACAUCCAUCCCAGCACAGCAAGGGGACGAUCUGGAGCAGCACUUCUACACUUCUACACACCAAAAAUAACAAAGACUACACCGUGGCAGAAUACCUGACCACCGUGAACGACCCAAAACAGAGGAGAUCCUUGACCAGAUACAGACUCAGCAAACACAGCCUGGCCAUCGAGAAGGGACGCCACAGACAGACCUGGCUCCCAAGAGAAGACAGACUGUGCUCCCACUGCACACACAACCAACUAGAGACAGAACUGCACUUCCUGACCUCCUGCCAGUCAUACGAAGACAUCAGGAACACACACUUCCCACGGAUUACAAAGGCAAGCAAGGACUUCAAAGACACUCCAGAUGCUCACAAACUGCCAUACCUGUUGGGAGAAAUACAACAAUGUGCGAACACAGCAGCAAGAUUCGUCACCUGUUGUGAUGAGAGGAGGACCUCAAACUCCCCAUAGACUCAUCCCCCUGGACUCACUCUGCAAACAAUAAUUGCAUAAUCCUCCGUAAUGAAAAUACUCUGUAUUUAGAGUGUAUCUUUAAUUUAUCUGUUUAUAUGAGAUACUGUAAUUUUUGUAAUUUUUUAAGUACUUUUGUAGUAUAACAUUUGAUAUGUAUAGAUAUUUUGUAUUUAACGGUUUAUACUUAUUAUUAUUAUAAUAUAUACCUUACCUUUUUACUUUUUAUUUUAUAAUGC